rnacentral:rRNA from 1 species
CUUACACAUGCAAGUCGAACGGCAGCACGGGUGCUUGCACCUGGUGGCGAGUGGCGAACGGGUGAGUAAUACAUCGGAACAUGUCCUGUAGUGGGGGAUAGCCCGGCGAAAGCCGGAUUAAUACCGCAUACGAUCUACAGAUGAAAGCGGGGGACCUUCGGGCCUCGCGCUAUAGGGUUGGCCGAUGGCUGAUUAGCUAGUUGGUGGGGUAAAGGCCUACCAAGGCGACGAUCAGUAGCUGGUCUGAGAGGACGACCAGCCACACUGGGACUGAGACACGGCCCAGACUCCUACGGGAGGCAGCAGUGGGGAAUUUUGGACAAUGGGCGAAAGCCUGAUCCAGCAAUGCCGCGUGUGUGAAGAAGGCCUUCGGGUUGUAAAGCACUUUUGUCCGGAAAGAAAUCCUUGGUUCUAAUAUAGCCGGGGGAUGACGGUACCGGAAGAAUAAGCACCGGCUAACUACGUGCCAGCAGCCGCGGUAAUACGUAGGGUGCGAGCGUUAAUCGGAAUUACUGGGCGUAAAGCGUGCGCAGGCGGUUUGCUAAGACCGAUGUGAAAUCCCCGGGCUCAACCUGGGAACUGCAUUGGUGACUGGCAGGCUAGAGUAUGGCAGAGGGGGGUAGAAUUCCACGUGUAGCAGUGAAAUGCGUACAGAUGUGGAGGAAUACCGAUGGCGAAGGCAGCCCCCUGGGCCAAUACUGACGCUCAUGCACGAAAGCGUGGGGAGCAAACA